AUGAACGCUGGCGGCGUGCCUAAUACAUGCAAGUCGAGCGAACAGACGAGGAGCUUGCUCCUCUGACGUUAGCGGCGGACGGGUGAGUAACACGUGGAUAACCUACCUAUAAGACUGGGAUAACUUCGGGAAACCGGAGCUAAUACCGGAUAAUAUAUUGAACCGCAUGGUUCAAUAGUGAAAGACGGUUUUGCUGUCACUUAUAGAUGGAUCCGCGCCGCAUUAGCUAGUUGGUAAGGUAACGGCUUACCAAGGCAACGAUGCGUAGCCGACCUGAGAGGGUGAUCGGCCACACUGGAACUGAGACACGGUCCAGACUCCUACGGGAGGCAGCAGUAGGGAAUCUUCCGCAAUGGGCGAAAGCUUGACGGAGCAACGCCGCGUGAGUGAUGAAGGUCUUCGGAUCGUAAAACGCUGUUAUUAGGGAAGAACAAAUGUGUAAGUAACUAUGCACGUCUUGACGGUACCUAAUCAGAAAGCCACGGCUAACUACGUG
rnacentral:rRNA from 1 species